rnacentral:tRNA from 1 species
UCAAUUGUAGGUUAAGGACUUAAACUGCUAAUUUGUGGUGUUAGUGAUUUUUUUGAACGAUUGAA